rnacentral:rRNA from 1 species
GUCCACACCGUAAACGAUGAUUACUAGGUGUUGGAGGAUUGACCCCUUCAGUGCCGCAGUUAACACAAUAAGUAAUCCACCUGGGGAGUACGACCGCAAGGUUGAAACUCAAAGGAAUUGACGGGGGCCCGCACAAGCAGUGGAGUAUGUGGUUUAAUUCGAAGCAACGCGAAGAACCUUACCAGGUCUUGACAUCCGAUGCAUAGUGCAGAGAUGCAUGAAGUCCUUCCGGACAUCGAGACAGGUGGUGCAUGGUUGUCGU